rnacentral:rRNA from 1 species
CCUACGGGAGGCAGCAGUGGGGAAUAUUGCGCAAUGGGCGAAAGCCUGACGCAGCGACGCCGCGUGAGGGAUGAAGGUCUUCGGAUCGUAAACCUCUGUCAGCAGGGAAGAACGGUCACUGUGCUAAUCAGCAGUGAAUUGCCGGUACCUGCAAAGGAGCCACCGGCUAACUCCGUGCCAGCAGCCGCGGUAAUACGGAGGGUGCGAGCGUUAAUCGGAAUUACUGGGCGUAAAGCGCUCGUAGGCGGUAUGUCAAGUCAAGGGUGAAAUCCCCGCGCUCAACGUGGGAACUGCCUUUGAAACUGGCAAACUGGAGUGUGGGAGAGGAUAGUGGAAUUCCAGGUGUAGGAGUGAAAUGCGUAGAUAUCUGGAGGAACAUCAGUGGCGAAGGCGACUAUCUGGCACAUAACUGACGCUGAGGAGCGAAAGCGUGGGUAGCAAACAGGAUUAGAUACCCUUGUAGUC